UGGGGAAUCUUCCGCAAUGGACGAAAGUCUGACGGAGCAACGCCGCGUGAGUGAUGACGGCCUUCGGGUUGUAAAGCUCUGUUAAUCGGGACGAAUGGUUCUUGUGCAAAUAGUGCGAGGAUUUGACGGUACCGGAAUAGAAAGCCACGGCUAACUACGUGCCAGCAGCCGCGGUAAUACGUAGGUGGCAAGCGUUGUCCGGAAUUAUUGGGCGUAAAGCGCGCGCAGGCGGAUUGGUCAGUCUGUCUUAAAAGUUCGGGGCUUAACCCCGUGAUGGGAUGGAAACUGCCAAUCUAGAGUAUCGGAGAGGAAAGUGGAAUUCCUAGUGUAGCGGUGAAAUGCGUAGAUAUUAGGAAGAACACCAGUGGCGAAGGCGACUUUCUGGACGAAAACUGACGCUGAGGCGCGAAAGCCAGGGAAGCGAACGGG
rnacentral:rRNA from 1 species